CAAGGAAUAAAACAAAGUUGAAUAUCAUUGCCAAUUCGAUAGAGGACUACAAAAGCAUCGUACGACGAACUGUUUUAUUUCUGAGGUUAAGCAACUUUGAAAUCAGGUAAUAAAACUUUUACUGUCCAAUCGCAACUCGAAUCGUAAAAAAAGAGCAUUCAUAAAACGUGAACAAAUACGAAGCGAACAUGAAGGAAAAAGAGAGGGGAAAGACAGGGAGAGCAAAUGGGCUGGCGGAAAAAGUGAAAGACGCGAUGAGAUCGUUCGGUAUACUCGCACAGAAGGAAAGGUGUAGCCAUACAGAAGGAAAAAGACAAUAGCAGGGACGGGUGCUUUCCACCCACAUUCCUCGCGGCAGUGCAGUGGCAUAGUAAUCGCUUAACGUAAAUUAAGUAGUCAAGACGGC